UGUUUGCAAUCGGCUUAUCCGUAACUACCCUGAUUAUAAAAUAGUUGUGCUUGACAAGCUUGACUAUUGUUCAAACCUGAAAAAUCUCCUCCCUUCCAAGUCAUCCCCUAACUUUAAGUUUGUCAAGGGUGAUGUUGGAAGUGCAGACCUUGUCAACUUCCUCCUGAUCACGGAGUCGAUUGACACAAUUAUGCACUUUGCAGCCCAGACCCAUGUGGACAACUCUUUUGGUAACAGCUUUGAGUUCACCAAGAACAACAUAUAUGGAACUCAUGUCCUUUUAGAAGCUUGCAAAGUCACUGGUCAGAUCAGGAGGUUCAUCCAUGUGAGCACAGAUGAAGUAUAUGGGGAGACUGAUG
rnacentral:lncRNA from 1 species